UAGGGAAUCUUCGCGCAAUGGACGGAAGUCUGACCGAGCAACGCCGCGUGAGUGAAGAAGGUUUUCGGAUCGUAAAGCUCUGUUGUAAGAGAAGAACGAGUGUGAGAGUGGAAAGUUCACACUGUGACGGUAUCUUACCAGAAAGGGACGGCUAACUACGUGCCAGCAGCCGCGGUAAUACGUAGGUCCCGAGCGUUGUCCGGAUUUAUUGGGCGUAAAGCGAGCGCAGGCGGUUAGAUAAGUCUGAAGUUAAAGGCUGUGGCUUAACCAUAGUACGCUUUGGAAACUGUUUAACUUGAGUGCAAGAGGGGAGAGUGGAAUUCCAUGUGUAGCGGUGAAAUGCGUAGAUAUAUGGAGGAACACCGGUGGCGAAAGCGGCUCUCUGGCUUGUAACUGACGCUGAGGCUCGAAAGCGUGGGGAGCAAACAGGAUUAGAUACCCUGGUAGUCCACGCCGUAAACGAUGAGUGCUAGGUGUUAGACCCUUUCCGGGGUUUAGUGCCGCAGCUAACGCAUUAAGCACUCCGCCUGGGGAGUACGACCGCAAGGUUG
rnacentral:rRNA from 1 species